UACGUAGGGCGCAAGCGUUGUCCGGAAUUAUUGGGCGUAAAGAGCUCGUAGGCGGUCUGUUGCGUCCGCUGUGAAAACUCGGGGCUUAACCCCGAGCCUGCAGUGGAUACGGGCAGACUAGAGGUAGGUAGGGGAGAAUGGAAUUCCCGGUGUAGCGGUGAAAUGCGUAGAUAUCGUAAGGAAGACCAGUGGCGAAGGCGGGUCUCUGGACAGUUCCUGACGCUGAGGCACGAAGGUCAGGGGAGCAAACGGG
rnacentral:rRNA from 1 species